UCAAUUUAGUAAUUCAAGAUCUCUGCAAUUAUUAAUCAUGAAAUAAUUUAUUGAACAUAAAGAUUUUAUUAACUCUUUACCAUUUAAUUCGGCCAUAUCCAGCCCAAAUAUUCUACCUGUUUUAUGUUAAUAUUGACCAGAUCCAACUCCUCACACCUACCCCACAAUGUCAUGCUAGAAGUAAACAAGCACACCACUGUAAUCUUGAAGCUAUGAGAUAAUGAAUAAUUAAUUCAAAACGACGUGAAUAAAUAUGCAUAACAUUUGAUGGAGUAAUUUGAAUGCUGAAGGGUUAAAUAUAAGCAAAUAGAAUUGAAAUAAGUAAAAAUAAGGACAAAUAUAAACAAAAUGUAAGGGCAAUAUGUCAGGUUUUGUUUUAAUAACAUUAAUUACAAGAAACAAAAAGAAAAAUGGGGUUUUUGUGUGUAAAACAACAGUUAGAAUUGGAGGGAAGAUGGUAACAGACAAUCCAAGUAUUUGACAUUGAGAGAAAUAACUUCCUUAUGCAAAUAUAUAUAUAUAUGUACACAUAAACAUAAUUUAUGUAAGACAUAUUAACAUAAUUUAUGUAAAUAUUAGUAUAGUCUGUACAUGAUAACACACACACACACACACAGACUCAAUAUAAAGGAAUUUCAUAGUUUAAAACUUCAUGUUAAAACUUAAAGAGUGUUCAAAAGAGAAGGGGGUGGGGGCUCACAAUUUGGGGUAUUUUUUAAAUUUGACAUCAUCUCUGAUAUAACUGAGGUCAACUGCUUUGAGGGGUGGGAGUUAAUUAUGAAAUCUAUAUCUUACAGUUUUACCUGUAGGAUAUGAUGCCUUCUUGAAUUUAUCACCAUUGUAUGAUGAGCUGUGUGAACCAUUAGACCAAAGGCACACAAAUAAAGAAUCUUGUCUUUGAGUAGUAAUUCUGUCAGGUAAAGUCAGCUGUUCCUUUCGAAGUUCCAUAUUUUCUUUCAGCUGAUCCUAAUAAAACAGUGAGAAAAUUAAAGAAUUUCUACAGGUGUUAGCUGUAAAAUGUCUCAUUGUGGAGUCUAAUUGG